rnacentral:lncRNA from 1 species
ACCUGGCAUCAGAGACACCAGAGUUACAGCUUAAUUUCCUAGAGCCUGACUUCAGAUGACAACUCCCAGAGGACGCCUUUGCUUUCAGAAAAUCUGGCUUUGGGCUGAAAAAUUCAGACUGGCAUUCAACUGCCCGGAUUUAGCACCACCUGGAGAAAUAGACUCUACAGCUAUCAAGAAACCAGGCUCAGUCUUUGCACCUACCUGUGUGACCUUGGAAGUACAAAAGGCGGCAGAUACUAUGGAUGUAGAAUGUGAGACUCCAGUUCUUACCCAGCUGCGUCUUUGUGACUUCAAGUAA